rnacentral:rRNA from 1 species
GGAAACCCAGUGUGUUUCGACACACUAUCAUUAACUGAAUCCAUAGGUUAAUGAGGCGAACCGGGGGAACUGAAACAUCUAAGUACCCCGAGGAAAAGAAAUCAACCGAGAUUCCCCCAGUAGCGGCGAGCGAACGGGGAGGAGCCCAGAGCCUGAAUCAGUGUGUGUGUUAGUGGAAGCGUCUGGAAAGGCGCGCGAUACAGGGUGACAGCCCCGUACACAAAAAUGCACAUAUUGUGAGCUCGAUGAGUAGG